rnacentral:rRNA from 1 species
UACGGGGGGAGCAAGCGUUGUUCGGAUUUACUGGGCGUAAAGGGCGCGUAGGCGGUCAGCACAAGUCAGUUGUGAAAUCUCCGGGCUUAACUCGGAAAGGUCAACUGAUACUGUGCGACUAGAGUGCGGAAGGGGCAACUGGAAUUCUCGGUGUAGCGGUGAAAUGCGCAGAUAUCAGGAGGAACACCAAUGGCGAAGGCAGCUCGCUGGGACGGUACUGACGCUGAGGCGCGAAAGCGUGGGGAGCAAACAGG